GCGCGUAAAUUGCCCGAAUCCUGACACAGGGAGGUAGUGACAAGAAAUAACAAUACAGGGCUAUCUUAGUCUUGUAAUUGGAAUGAGUACAAUUUACAUCUCUUCACGAGGAUCAAUUGGAGGGCAAGUCUGGUGCCAGCAGCCGCGGUAAUUCCAGCUCCAAUAGCGUAUAUUAAAGUUGUUGCAGUUAAAACGCUCGUAGUCGGAUUUCGGGGCGGGGCCGCCGGUCUGCCGAUGGGUAUGCACUGACGGUCGCGUCCUUCCUUCCGGAGACUGGCCCUACUCUUAACUGAGCGGGGUCGGGAGACGGAUCGUUUACUUUGAAAAAAUCAGAGUGUUUCAAGCAGGCAGCUCGCUCUUGCAUGGAUUAGCAUGGGAUAAUGAAAUAGGACUUUGGUGCUAUUUUGUUGGUUUCGAACACCGAAGUAAUGAUUAACAGGGACAGUCAGGGGCACUCGUAUUCC
rnacentral:rRNA from 1 species